UUAAGUUAGAAAGGGCGCACGGUGGAUGCCUUGGCACUAGGAGCCGAUGAAGGACGGGACGAACACCGAUAUGCUUCGGGGAGCUGUAAGCAAGCUUUGAUCCGGAGAUUUCCGAAUGGGGAAACCCACCACUCGUAAUGGAGUGGUAUCCAUAUCUGAAUACAUAGGAUAUGAGAAGGCAGACCCGGGGAACUGAAACAUCUAAGUACCCGGAGGAAGAGAAAGCAAAUGCGAUUCCCUGAGUAGCGGCGAGCGAAACGGGAUCAGCCCAAACCAAGAGGCUUGCCUCUUGGGGUUGUAGGACACUCUGUACGGAGUUACAAAGGAACGAGGUAGAUGAAGAGGUCUGGAAAGGCCCGCCAUAGGAGGUAACAGCCCUGUAGUCAAAACUUCGUUCUCUCCUGAGUGGAUCCUGAGUACGGCGGAACACGUGAAAUUCCGUCGGAAUCCGGGAGGACCAUCUCCCAAGGCUAAAUACUCCCUAGUGACCGAUAGUGAACCAGUACCGUGAGGGAAAGGUGAAAAGCACCCCGGAAGGGGAGUGAAAGAGAUCCUGAAACCGUGUGCCUACAAGUAGUCAGAGCCCGUUAACGGGUGAUGGCGUGCCUUUUGUAGAAUGAACCGGCGAGUUACGAUCCCGUGCAAGGUUAAGCAGAAGAUGCGGAGCCGCAGCGAAAGCGAGUCUGAAUAGGGCGAAUUGAGUACGUGGUCGUAGACCCGAAACCAGGUGAUCUACCCAUGUCCAGGGUGAAGUUCAGGUAACACUGAAUGGAGGCCCGAACCCACGCACGUUGAAAAGUGCGGGGAUGAGGUGUGGGUAGGGGUGAAAUGCCAAUCGAACCUGGAGAUAGCUGGUUCUCUCCGAAAUAGCUUUAGGGCUAGCCUCAAGGUAAGAGUCUCGGAGGUAGAGCACUGAUUGGACUAGGGGCCCCUACCGGGUUACCGAAUUCAGUCAAACUCCGAAUGCCGAUGACUUAUCCUUGGGAGUCAGACUGCGAGUGAUAAGAUCCGUAGUCGAAAGGGAAACAGCCCAGACCGCCAGCUAAGGUCCCAAAGUAUACGUUAAGUGGAAAAGGAUGUGGAGUUGCUUAGACAACCAGGAUGUUGGCUUAGAAGCAGCCACCAUUUAAAGAGUGCGUAAUAGCUCACUGGUCGAGUGACUCUGCGCCGAAAAUGUACCGGGGCUAAACGUAUCACCGAAGCUGCGGACUGUUCUUCGAACAGUGGUAGGAGAGCGUUCUAAGGGCUGUGAAGCAAGACCGGAAGGACUUGUGGAGCGCUUAGAAGUGAGAAUGCCGGUAUGAGUAGCGAAAGAGGGGUGAGAAUCCCCUCCACCGAAUGCCUAAGGUUUCCUGAGGAAGGCUCGUCCGCUCAGGGUUAGUCGGGACCUAAGCCGAGGCCGAAAGGCGUAGGCGAUGGAUAACAGGUUGAUAUUCCUGUACCACCUCCUCACCAUUUGAGCAAUGGGGGGACGCAGGAGGAUAGGGUAAGCGCGGUAUUGGAUAUCCGCGUCCAAGCAGUUAGGCUGGGAAAUAGGCAAAUCCGUUUCCCGUGAAGGCUGAGCUGUGAUGGCGAGCGAAUUAUGUAGCGAAGUUCCUGAUUCCACACUGCCAAGAAAAGCCUCUAGCGAGGUGAGAGGUGCCCGUACCGCAAACCGACACAGGUAGGCGAGGAGAGAAUCCUAAGGUGAUCGAGAGAACUCUCGUUAAGGAACUCGGCAAAAUGACCCCGUAACUUCGGGAGAAGGGGUGCUCUGUUAGGGUGCAAGCCCGAGAGAGCCGCAGUGAAUAGGCCCAGGCGACUGUUUAGCAAAAACACAGGUCUCUGCGAAGCCGUAAGGCGAAGUAUAGGGGCUGACGCCUGCCCGGUGCUGGAAGGUUAAGAGGAGCGCUUAGCGUAAGCGAAGGUGCGAAUUGAAGCCCCAGUAAACGGCGGCCGUAACUAUAACGGUCCUAAGGUAGCGAAAUUCCUUGUCGGGUAAGUUCCGACCCGCACGAAAGGCGCAACGAUCUGGGCACUGUCUCAACGAGAGACUCGGUGAAAUUAUAGUACCUGUGAAGAUGCAGGUUACCCGCGACAGGACGGAAAGACCCCGUGGAGCUUUACUGCAGCCUGAUAUUGAAUGUUGGUACAGCUUGUACAGGAUAGAUAGGAGCCUUGGAAACCGGAGCGCCAGCUUCGGUGGAGGCAUCGGUGGGAUACUACCCUGGCUGUAUUGACCUUCUAACCCGCCGCCCUUAUCGGGCGGGGAGACAGUGUCAGGUGGGCAGUUUGACUGGGGCGGUCGCCUCCUAAAAGGUAACGGAGGCGCCCAAAGGUUCCCUCAGAAUGGUUGGAAAUCAUUCGCAGAGUGUAAAGGCACAAGGGAGCUUGACUGCGAGACCUACAAGUCGAGCAGGGACGAAAGUCGGGCUUAGUGAUCCGGUGGUUCCGCAUGGAAGGGCCAUCGCUCAACGGAUAAAAGCUACCCCGGGGAUAACAGGCUUAUCUCCCCCAAGAGUCCACAUCGACGGGGAGGUUUGGCACCUCGAUGUCGGCUCAUCGCAUCCUGGGGCUGUAGUCGGUCCCAAGGGUUGGGCUGUUCGCCCAUUAAAGCGGUACGCGAGCUGGGUUCAGAACGUCGUGAGACAGUUCGGUCCCUAUCCGUCGCGGGCGCAGGAAAUUUGAGAGGAGCUGUCCUUAGUACGAGAGGACCGGGAUGGACGCACCGCUGGUGUACCAGUUGUUCUGCCAAGGGCAUCGCUGGGUAGCUAUGUGCGGACGGGAUAAGUGCUGAAAGCAUCUAAGCAUGAAGCCCCCCUCAAGAUGAGAUUUCCCAUUCCGCAAGGAAGUAAGAUCCCUGAAAGAUGAUCAGGUUGAUAGGUCUGAGGUGGAAGUGUGGCGACACAUGGAGCUGACAGAUACUAAUCGAUCGAGGACUUAACCAA
rnacentral:rRNA from 1 species